GCACAACGCGAAGAACCUUACCUAGGCUUGAACUCCUACGAACCUGUUGUAAUGGACGGGGUGCCCGCAAGGGAAUGUAGUGAGAGGUGCUGCAUGGCUGUCGUCAGCUCGUGUUGUGAAAUGUUGGGUUAAGUCUCGCAACGAGCGCAACCCCUAUCGUCUGUUGCCAGCAUUUAGUUGGGCACUCUGACGAGACUGCCUGGGUUAACCAGGAGGAAGGUGGGGAUGACGUCAAGUCCUCAUGGCCCUUAUGUCUAGGGCUACACACGUAAUACAAUGGCGCGUACAAUGGGAAGCGAACUAGUGAUAGGGAGCAAAUCUCAAAAAGCGCGCCUCAGUUCGGAUUGGAGUCUGCAACUCGACUCCAUGAAGUUGGAAUCGCUAGUAAUCGGAGAUCAGCACGCUCCGGUGAAUACGUUCCCGGGUCUUGUACACACCG
rnacentral:rRNA from 1 species